rnacentral:rRNA from 1 species
AGCGAACGCUGGCGGCAGGCUUAACACAUGCAAGUCGAACGCCAUCUUCGGAUGGAGUGGCAGACGGGUGAGUAACGCGUGGGAACGUACCCUUGGUUCGGAAUAUUCUCGGGAAACUGGGAGCAAUACCGGAUAAGCCCUACGGGGGAAAGAUUUAUCGCCAAAGGAGCGGCCCGCGUCAGAUUAGGUAGUUGGUGGGGUAAAGGCCUACCAAGCCUACGAUCUGUAGCUGGUCUGAGAGGAUGAUCAGCCACACUGGGACUGAGACACGGCCCAGACUCCUACGGGAGGCAGCAGUGGGGAAUCUUGGACAAUGGGCGCAAGCCUGAUCCAGCCAUGCCGCGUGGAUGAUGAAGGCCUUAGGGUUGUAAAAUCCUUUCAACGGGGACGAUAAUGACGGUACCCGUAGAAGAAGCCCCGGCUAACUUCGUG